rnacentral:rRNA from 1 species
CCUACGGGAGGCAGCAGUGGGGAAUAUUGGACAAUGGGCGAAAGCCUGAUCCAGCCAUGCCGCGUGUGUGAAGAAGGCCUUCGGGUUGUAAAGCACUUUCAGUGGGGAAGAAAGCCUUGGGGCUAAUACCCUCGAGGAAGGACAUCACCCACAGAAGAAGCACCGGCUAACUCCGUGCCAGCAGCCGCGGUAAUACGGAGGGUGCGAGCGUUAAUCGGAAUUACUGGGCGUAAAGCGCGCGUAGGCGGUCUGAUAAGCCGGUUGUGAAAGCCCCGGGCUCAACCUGCGAACGGCAUCCGGAACUGUCAGGCUAGAGUGCAGGAGAGGAAGGUAGAAUUCCCGGUGUAGCGGUGAAAUGCGUAGAGAUCGGGAGGAAUACCAGUGGCGAAGGCGGCCUUCUGGACUGACACUGACGCUGAGGUGCGAAAGCGUGGGUAGCAAACAGGAUUAGAUACCCUAGUAGUC